CUCCUCCUAUCCAACCCUUCACCUUCCACACCCACACAUAUUUUCCUGCUGGGCAUUCAGCAGGAACACGCUGUGGAUAUUGUGAAAGCCCUCCACUGCCAUACUUCCUCAUGCCUUGCUGCUUAAUAGGUGAAAAAAAUGAGGCUUUACCAACUUACUUUGUGGCAUUUGUAAGUAAGAUCAAAUCUCAAAGACACCUUUGAUUUGGGAGACCGAUAGUAAUACCCCAAUACGUAAUAUGAACCAAUGUCCUUUGAACCAUAGCUUCUUAAAACAAUGCAUACACUGGGCUCAGUUUUUGAGACUCAAUAUACUGUCACAUACUCAUGAGGGGAAAAGGAACAACCUUACAGAGAUUGGCUUGUAAAUGUCAAAAGAAAGUACCAGAAUAACUUCUGCUGCUUAACCAACAAAUAUAGAAUUUUAGUACUAAAACUAUCAUCAAAAUAAAUUCCAAAUUGUUCCUUUCUUUGACAAAUACCAGAAAAUUACACAACUUUAAUAGGUCAAAGAGUUUCAACAUCAACAAAACAAAUAUUACCUGCUAGGGAGACUCUGACAACACAUUCAAAACCACAGGAUAUGUGUAACAGCAGCACAUACAACUGUAUCUUAUAUUAACAAAGUGGUAACAUACUUUGAAUAUUAAAUUAUUGCUCUAAUAUUAUUAUUAUUAAUAUUAGUAAUAGU